rnacentral:rRNA from 1 species
UACGAGGGGGGCUAGCGUUGCUCGGAAUCACUGGGCGUAAAGGGUGCGUAGUCGGGUCUUUAAGUCAGGGGUGAAAUCCUGGAGCUCAACUCCAGAACUGCCUUUGAUACUGAAGAUCUUGAGUUCGGGAGAGGUGAGUGGAACUGCGAGUGUAGAGGUGAAAUUCGUAGAUAUUCGGAAGAACACCAGUGGCGAAGGCGACUUACUGGACACAUAUUGACGCUGAGGUGCGAAAGCGUGGGGAGCAAACAGG